rnacentral:rRNA from 1 species
ACACGUAGGGGGCGAGCGUUGUUCGGAAUCAUUGGGCGUAAAGGGCGCGCAGGCGGCGAGGCAAGUCCGGUGUGAAAGUGCUCGGCUCAACCGAGUGAUGCGCUGGAAACUGCCCUGCUUGAGUACAGGAGGGGACGUCGAAAUUCCAGGUGUAGGGGUGAAAUCUGUAGAUAUCUGGAAGAACACCGGUGGCGAAGGCGGACGUCGGGCCAUGUACUGACGCUGAGGCGCGAAGGUGCGGGGAGCGAACAGGUUUAGAUACCCUGGUAGUCCGCACAGUAAACGAUGUGCACCAGGUGGCGGGGGGUAGCCCUCGGUACCGAAGCCAACGCAUUAAGUGCACCGCCUGGGGAGUAUGCUCGCAAGGGUGAAACUCAAAGGAAUUGACGGGG